GAUGAACGCUGGCGGCGUGCCUAAUACAUGCGAGUCGAGCGAACGGACGAGAAGCUUGCUUCUCUGAUGUUAGCGGCGGACGGGUGAGUAACACGUGGAUAACCUACCUAUAAGACUGGGAUAACUUCGGGAAACCGGAGCUAAAACCGGAUAAUAUUUUGAACCGCAUGGUUCAAAAGUGAAAGACGUUCUUGCUGUCACUUAUAGAUGGAUCCGCGCUGCAUUAGCUAGUUGGUAAGGUAACGGCUUACCAAGGCAACGAUGCAUAGCCGACCUGAGAGGGUGAUCGGCCACACUGGAACUGAGACACGGUCCAGACUCCUACGGGAGGCAGCAGUAGGGAAUCUUCCGCAAUGGGCGAAAGCCUGACGCAGCAACGCCGCGUGAGUGAUGAAGGUCUUCGGAUCGUAAAACUCUGUUAUUAGGGAAGAACAUAUGUGUAAGUAACUGUGCACAUCUUGACGGUACCUAAUCAGAAAGCCACGGCUAACUACGUG
rnacentral:rRNA from 1 species